CGAGCGGCGGACGGGUGAGUAACACGUGGGUAACCUGCCCAAGAGACUGGGAUAACACCUGGAAACAGAUGCUAAUACCGGAUAACAACACUAGACGCAUGUCUAGAGUUUGAAAGAUGGUUCUGCUAUCACUCUUGGAUGGACCUGCGGUGCAUUAGCUAGUUGGUAAGGUAACGGCUUACCAAGGCAAUGAUGCAUAGCCGAGUUGAGAGACUGAUCGGCCACAUUGGGACUGAGACACGGCCCAAACUCCUACGGGAGGCAGCAGUAGGGAAUCUUCCACAAUGGACGAAAGUCUGAUGGAGCAACGCCGCGUGAGUGAAGAAGGGUUUCGGCUCGUAAAGCUCUGUUGGUAGUGAAGAAAGAUGGAGGUAGUAACUGGCCUUUAUUUGACGGUAAUUACUUAGAAAGUCACGGCUAACUACGUGCCAGCAGCCGCGGUAAUACGUAGGUGGCAAGCGUUGUCCGGAUUUAUUGGGCGUAAAGCGAGUGCAGGCGGUUCAAUAAGUCUGAUGUGAAAGCCUUCGGCUCAACCGGAGAAUUGCAUCAGAAACUGUUGAACUUGAGUGCAGAAGAGGAGAGUGGAACUCCAUGUGUAGCGGUGGAAUGCGUAGAUAUAUGGAAGAACACCAGUGGCGAAGGCGGCUCUCUGGUCUGCAACUGACGCUGAGGCUCGAAAGCAUGGGUAGCGAACAGGAUUAGAUACCCUGGUA
rnacentral:rRNA from 1 species